UUUUUUUUUUUUUUUGUUUUUGUGAAAUGUGAUUGUUUUGUUAGUGUAGUACAGAUUGCAGUCGCAUAGAUUAGCAAAUGGUGCCUUUUUGUUGUCAUUUUCAUUGCUGUUGGCGAUGAUAAUGAUAAAUACAAUCAGAAUUCUCAAGGAUAUAACUAAUCAAAUUGUAAAAAUUUUAAUUUUUCCCUAAAUGCCUGGGAGUUAUAUUCAUGUUCA
rnacentral:misc_RNA from 1 species